rnacentral:rRNA from 1 species
UNUGACUUGAGUGCAGAAGGGGAGAGUGGAAUUCCAUGUGUAGCGGUGAAAUGCGUAGAUAUAUGGAGGAACACCAGUGGCGAAAGCGGCUCUCUGGUCUGUCACUGACGCUGAGGCUCGAAAGCGUGGGUAGCGAACAGGAUUAGAUACCCUGGUAGUCCACGCCGUAAACGAUGAGUGCUAGGUGUUAGGCCCUUUCCGGGGCUUAGUGCCGGAGCUAACGCAAUAAGCACUCCGCCUGGGGAGUACGACCGCAAGGUUGAAACUCAAAGGAAUUGACGGGGGCCCGCACAAGCGGUGGAGCAUGUGGUUUAAUUCGAAGCAACGCGAAGAACCUUACCAGGUCUUGACAUCCCGAUGCUAUUCUUAGAGAUAGGAAGUUACUUCGGUACAUCGGAGACAGGUGGUGCAUGGUUGUCGUCAGCUCGUGUCGUGAGAUGUUGGGUUAAGUCCCGCAACGAGCGCAACCCUUAUUGUUAGUUGCCAUCAUUAAGUUGGGCACUCUAGCGAGACUGCCGGUAAUAAACCGGAGGAAGGUGGGGAUGACGUCAAAUCAUCAUGCCCCUUAUGACCUGGGCUACACACGUGCUACAAUGGUCGGUACAACGAGUUGCGAGCCGGUGACGGCAAGCUAAUCUCUGAAAGCCGAUCUCAGUUCGGAUUGGAGGCUGCAACUCGCCUCCAUGAAGUCGGAAACGCUAGUAAUCGCGGAUCAGCACGCCGCGGUGAAUACGUUCCCGGGCCUUGUACACACCGCCC